ACGAGAGAACUACCCAGGGCCAUGAUAUCCACACGGCAGUUGAUCAGAGAUUCGGCUUACAUAUGGCUACAACAAUCAUCAUCCCUCACCCAAUUUACAGUUAAUUAGGAAAUGGAAAACAAACACACACCACAAAAGCAUAGCAGAAUCAUACCCAAAAGAGGAGAAAAUUAUGAGAUUGGCUGAGAAGCUUCAGCGCACUUGAGGUCGGCUUCAAAAUUUUCAGUGGAUAUGGCAACAUGAAAAUCAAGAACGAAUUUAGAUAUGGCAACAUUUGUACUACCCCUCCCCCAAUCUGUUCUUGAGGUAUCUGAGCAGUUUAUGGUUCCAGCUACUCCAAUAUGCAGGCUUUUGACUUCUUUAGGUCUGCUAUCCAAUGACAUCUUCAGCAAAAUGCAAUUUCAGGUCCAAUACAAAGGCAGAUUUGGUCAAUUUGGUGGUUUCGUUGCCAAUGCCAUAGCUUCAGAUGCUUUUCCAGUUUUUUUUUUUGUUUUUUGUUUUUUGGGAAAAAAAGAGGCUGGAAGAUGUUUACCUCAACUCUACGUGACUUCUAUUUAGAUGAAGCACCAGGUCUGUACAAUGCCUAUAGAUCUGUACUAGGAAACAUACCGGUUCUGUGAUUGCAGGGUUCUCCACGGAAACUGAAGCAGAAGAUUUGACACGACCACAGAGGUUAGACAUGCUAGGCAGUUGUGCACAUUGCUAAAUGCUAAUUAAAGUUUGAUUUCUGCAAUUGCAUGCAGAUGUCUAAUAUAUAUGAAGGGUUCAAACCAUGCGAGUCUCCUCUGUCCUAUAUCUGUUAUUAAAGUUUUUGUUAUGGUAUCAAUUCUUAUGAAUCCAAUUGUCCUACGAACUUAAAACAACUGAAGAGUAAGGUUCAUUUCUUUACCCUAGGUCCCUACUGCAAAGAUGGCUAUUUUCUUUUCUUAAGGAAAAGACAGAUUCUCUGUUCACCUGAUAUUUAAUCCCAUGGAUUCACCAUAUCUCAAUUUUGGAUGAUUGCCAUUUUGAAAGAUGGCCCCGAGUUUCAUUUAGGAAAUUUCAUUUGGAUUUUUGUGUGUAGAGUUGUAUCACCUAAAAGAAAAUGGAAAAGAGUGAAAAUGAGUCUGCAUAACCAAUUUACCAUGAGUUAUUUGGCAAAACAGUCUCGAGUGAUCUCAUGAAUCAUGAUACCUUUUGUUUUGUUGUUCGGUUACUUUCAGGCACAGCAAGUAUUACUGCAGAUUGAUACUGACACUCUAAAACACAUACUGUAUUCAGGAAGCAAAGGUGAAGGUAGUGGUAUGCUCUUGAUUUCCUUUCGUCUGUUCUAUAAAUGGUGUGUGUAGGAAUUACCUUUUAAAUUGUAUUAACUGCAAUAUCAUAAGCUCGAUUGAAGUUGUAAGGAAAAGUUUCAUUUUCUUUUUGUAUAAUCUGUUGAAGUGGUUCGAGUGUGCUACAGCAGAUUUGAACAU